GGAGUCGUAGCUCAACUGGUUAGAGCGCCUCCCUGUCACGGAGGAGGUUGCGGGUUCGAGUCCCGUCGAUUCCGCCA
rnacentral:tRNA from 1 species